AACGAACGCUGGCGGCAGGCUUAACACAUGCAAGUCGAGCGCCCCGCAAGGGGAGCGGCAGACGGGUGAGUAACACGUGGGAAUCUACCCAUCCCUGCGGAACAACUCCGGGAAACUGGAGCUAAUACCGCAUACGCCCUUCGGGGGAAAGAUUUAUCGGGGAUGGAUGAGCCCGCGUUGGAUUAGCUAGUUGGUGGGGUAAAGGCCUACCAAGGCGACGAUCCAUAGCUGGUCUGAGAGGAUGAUCAGCCACAUUGGGACUGAGACACGGCCCAAACUCCUACGGGAGGCAGCAGUGGGGAAUAUUGGACAAUGGGCGCAAGCCUGAUCCAGCCAUGCCGCGUGAAUGAUGAAGGCCUUAGGGUUGUAAAGUUCUUUCACCGAUGAAGAUAAUGACGGUAGUCGGAGAAGAAGCCCCGGCUAACUUCGUGCCAGCAGCGGCCGCAG
rnacentral:rRNA from 1 species